GAACUGCGAUAAGUAAUGUGAAUUGCGGAAUUCAGUGAAUCAUCGAGUCUUUGAACGCACAUUGCGCCCCCUGGCAUUCCGGGGGGCAUGCCUGUCCGAGCGUCAUUGCUGCCCUUCAAGCCCGGCUUGUGUGUUGGGUCGUCGUCCCCUCCGGGGGACGGGCCCGAAAGGCAGCGGCGGCACCGCGUCCGGUCCUCGAGCGUAUGGGGCUUUGUCACCCGCUCGAUAAGGACCGGCCGGGCGCCAGCCGGCGUCUCCAACCUUUUUUUCUCAGGUUGACCUCGGAUCAGGUAGGGAUACCCGCUGAACUUAAGC
rnacentral:misc_RNA from 1 species